rnacentral:rRNA from 1 species
GACGAACGCUGGCGGCGUGCCUAAUACAUGCAAGUCGAGCGGACGGAUGGGAGCUUGCUCCCAGACCGUCAGCGGCGGACGGGUGAGUAACACGUGGGCAACCUGCCUGUAAGACUGGGAUAACUCCGGGAAACCGGGGCUAAUACCGGAUAACUCUUUCCCUCACAUGAGGGAAAGCUGAAAGAUGGCAUCUCGCUAUCACUUACAGAUGGGCCCGCGGCGCAUUAGCUAGUUGGUGAGGUAACGGCUCACCAAGGCGACGAUGCGUAGCCGACCUGAGGGGGUGAGCGGCCACACUGGGACUGAGACACGGCCCAGACUCCUACGGGAGGCAGCAGUAGGGAAUCUUCCGCAAUGGACGAAAGUCUGACGGAGCAACGCCGCGUGAGUGAUGAAGGUUUUCGGAUCGUAAAACUCUGUUGUCGGGGAAGAACAAGUACCGGAGUAACUGCCGGUACCUUGACGGUACCUGACCAGAAAGCCACGGCUAACUACGUG